UCCACUGUGGGUGGUACAAGACUCAUACCA
rnacentral:piRNA from 1 species